UGUGUGUGUGUGUGUGUGUGUGUGUAUGUGUGAAUAUAUAUUUUAUACCUGUGUGUAUACACACACACACACACACACACACACACACACA
rnacentral:miRNA from 1 species